AAUCAACGCUGGCGGCGUGCUUAACACAUGCAAGUCGAACGCGAAAGGGGCUUCGGCCCUGAGUAGAGUGGCAAACGGGUGAGUAACACGUGAGUGACCUACCCUCGAGUGGGGGAUAACGCUCCGAAAGGAACGCUAAUACCGCAUGUCAUCCCGCCUUUGAACAGGCGGUGAUGAAAGCCGGGGAUCGCAAGACCUGGCGCUUGAGGAGGGGCCCGCGCCCGAUUAGCUUGUUGGUGAGGUAAUGGCUCACCAAGGCAACGAUCGGUAGCCGGCCUGAGAGGGCGGACGGCCACACUGGGACUGAGACACGGCCCAGACUCCUACGGGAGGCAGCAGUGGGGAAUUGUUCGCAAUGGGCGAAAGCCUGACGACGCAACGCCGCGUGAAGGAUGAAGGUCUUCGGAUUGUAAACUUCUGUUGCCUGGAAAGAAUGGCCCUGACCUAAUACGUCAGGGUUUGACGGUACCAGGUGAGGAAGCCCCGGCUAACUCUGUGCCAGCAGCCGCGGUAAUACAGAGGGGGCGAGCGUUGUUCGGAAUUACUGGGCGUAAAGGGCGCGUAGGCGGCCUGUUAAGUCGAACGUGAAAUCCCCGGGCUCAACCCGGGAACUGCGCUCGAGACUGGCAGGCUUGAAUCCGGGAGAGGGAUGUGGAAUUCCAGGUGUAGCGGUGAAAUGCGUAGAUAUCU
rnacentral:rRNA from 1 species